CCCUACGGGGCGCAGCAGGUUUUCAGGUAUGCUGACAUUGAUUCUCCUGGUUCUGUUCUUGAAAGCUGACAAGUCAACAUCGACCAUAACCCAUAGUCCACCUGCAAAGUCAGGAUUAUUUGCCAACAAUUCGAUACUCGAAGGUUCUGGUAUCUUAUCGCCUUCGUCAAGGUGGCAUUCUAUGGCCUCCUGAACGCUUUUAAUCGCUUCGUCAAAAGUCUCGCCAGCGGUAAAGCAUCCAGGGAAAUCGGGGAUGGUAACUCCGAACGAGCUUUUACCUUCUUUGUGUAUAACAACAGGGAACAGCAUUUAUUACCUCCAGCUCCAGCCUGCUUGCCUGAAUGUGCUACGUAAAGCUCCGAGCGGAAUGUCUUUGGCGGGGGAGC
rnacentral:rRNA from 1 species